rnacentral:rRNA from 1 species
UUCUCGGUGCCCACGUUUAAUAGGUCCCACGUCAAUCCAUCCCGAACUUGACAGUGAAACUAUUACUGAGAAGGAAAAGCUGCAAGGGGAGCUUUGUGGAUUUUUCUUCUUGGUGCCGGGAA